rnacentral:rRNA from 1 species
UACGUAGGGGGCAAGCGUUGUCCGGAUUUAUUGGGCGUAAAGAGCGUGUAGGCGGCCAGGUAGGUCUGCUGUGAAAACUCGAGGCUCAACCUCGAGACGUCGGCGGAAACCAUCUGGCUAGAGUCCGGAAGAGGAGAGUGGAAUUCCUGGUGUAGCGGUGAAAUGCGCAGAUAUCAGGAAGAACACCCGUGGCGAAGGCGGCUCUCUGGGACGGUACUGACGCUGAGACGCGAAAGCGUGGGGAGCAAACGGG